CUGGAGCAGACCAGCAUAUCGUAGGGAAAUUCAGCCAGAAUGACGGCGUCCUAAGGGUUGAUAGCGCCCGGGACCAGAAAGACAAAUAGGAUUGGUAGUAAUAACCCAGAGGAGGUGGUGGUAGCAAUACAAGGCGGACGGCUCAGUAACACGUAGUCAACCUAACCUAUGGACGUGGAUAACCUCGGGAAACUGAGAAUAAACCGCGAUAGAUCAUUAUGCCUGGAAUGGCUUAUGGUUCAAACAAUUUAUUGCCGUAGGAUGGGACUGCGGCCUAUCAGCUUGUUGGUGAGGUAAUGGCCCACCAAGGCUAUAACAGGUACGGGCUCUGAGAGGAGAAGCCCGGAGAUGGGUACUGAGACACGGACCCAGGCCCUAUGGGGCGCAGCAGGCGAGAAACCUUAGCAAUGUGCGAAAGCACGACUAGGUUAAUCCGAGUGAUUUCUGUUGAAGAAAUCUUUUGUCAGUCGUAAAACCACAGACGAAUAAGGGGUGGGCAAGUCUGGUGUCAGCCGCCGCGGUAAUACCAGCACCUCGAGUGGUCAGGAGGUUUAUUGGGCCUAAAGCAUCCGUAGCAGGAUACGCAAGUCUCCGGUUAAAUCCAGCUGCUCAACAGAUGGGCUGCCGGAGAUACUACAUAGCUAGGGAGCGGGAGAGGUAGACGGUAUUCUGUGGGUAGGGGUAAAAUCCACUGAUCCAUAGAGGACCACCAGUGGCGAAGGCGGUCUACCAGAACGCGUUCGACGGUGAGGGAUGACAGCUGGGGGAGCAAACCGGAUUAGAUACCCGGGUAGUCCCAGCUGUAAACGAUGCAAACUCGGUGAUGCAUUGGCUUAUGGCCAAUGCAGUGCCGCAGGGAAGCCGUUAAGUCCCAAAAAGGGCAGUACGGACGCA
rnacentral:rRNA from 1 species